rnacentral:lncRNA from 1 species
AACAACAACAACAACGACGACGACGACGACGACGACGACGACGACAACAGCAACAACAACUGCAGCAACAACAACAACCACAACAACAACAACAACAACAACAACAACAACAACAACAACAACAACAACAACGACAACAAUGACAACAACAACAACAACAACAACAACCACAACAACAAAAACAACGAAAACAACAAUAACAACAACAC